rnacentral:rRNA from 1 species
UACGUAGGGGGCAAGCGUUAUCCGGAUUUACUGGGUGUAAAGGGGGCGCAGACGGCGAUGCAAGCCAGGAGUGAAAGCCCGGGGCCCAACCCCGGGACUGCUCUUGGAACUGCGUGGCUGGAGUGCAGGAGGGGCAGGCGGAAUUCCUGGUGUGGCGGUGAAAUGCGUAGAUAUCAGGAGGAACACCGGUGGCGAAGGCGGCCUGCUGGACUGCAACUGACGUUGAGGCCCGAAAGCGUGGGGAGCAAACAGG